rnacentral:rRNA from 1 species
ACGAUAUGCUUUGGGGAGCUGUAAGUAAGCUUUGAUCCAGAGAUUUCCGAAUGGGGAAACCCAGCAUGAGUUAUGUCAUGUUAUCGAUAUGUGAAUACAUAGCAUAUCAGAAGGCACACCCGGAGAACUGAAACAUCUUAGUACCCGGAGGAAGAGAAAGAAAAUUCGAUUCCCUUAGUAGCGGCGAGCGAAACGGGAAGAGCCCAAACCAACAAGCUUGCUUGUUGGGGUUGUAGGACACUCUAUACGGAGUUACAAAGGACGACAUUAGACGAAUCAUCUGGAAAGAUGAAUCAAAGAAGGUAAUAAUCCUGUAGUCGAAAAUGUUGUCUCUCUUGAGUGGAUCCUGAGUACGACGGAGCACGUGAAAUUCCGUCGGAAUCUGGGAGGACCAUCUCCUAAGGCUAAAUACUCUCUAGUGACCGAUAGUGAACCAGUACCGUGAGGGAAAGGUGAAAAGCACCCCGGAAGGGGAGUGAAAUAGAACCUGAAACCGUGUGCUUACAAGUAGUCAGAGCCCGUUAAUGGGUGAUGGCGUGCCUUUUGUAGAAUGAACCGGCGAGUUACGAUUUGAUGCAAGGUUAAGCAGUAAAUGUGGAGCCGUAGCGAAAGCGAGUCUGAAUAGGGCGUUUAGUAUUUGGUCGUAGACCCGAAACCAGGUGAUCUACCCUUGGUCAGGUUGAAGUUCAGGUAACACUGAAUGGAGGACCGAACCGACUUACGUUGAAAAGUGAGCGGAUGAACUGAGGGUAGCGGAGAAAUUCCAAUCGAACCUGGAGAUAGCUGGUUCUCUCCGAAAUAGCUUUAGGGCUAGCCUCAAGUGAUGAUUAUUGGAGGUAGAGCACUGUUUGGACGAGGGGCCCCUCUCGGGUUACCGAAUUCAGACAAACUCCGAAUGCCAAUUAAUUUAACUUGGGAGUCAGAACAUGGGUGAUAAGGUCCGUGUUCGAAAGGGAAACAGCCCAGACCACCAGCUAAGGUCCCAAAAUAUAUGUUAAGUGGAAAAGGAUGUGGCGUUGCCCAGACAACUAGGAUGUUGGCUUAGAAGCAGCCAUCAUUUAAAGAGUGCGUAAUAGCUCACUAGUCGAGUGACACUGCGCCGAAAAUGUACCGGGGCUAAACAUAUUACCGAAGCUGUGGAUUGUCCUUUGGACAAUGGUAGGAGAGCGUUCUAAGGGCGUUGAAGCAUGAUCGUAAGGACAUGUGGAGCGCUUAGAAGUGAGAAUGCCGGUGUGAGUAGCGAAAGACGGGUGAGAAUCCCGUCCACCGAUUGACUAAGGUUUCCAGAGGAAGGCUCGUCCGCUCUGGGUUAGUCGGGUCCUAAGCUGAGGCCGACAGGCGUAGGCGAUGGAUAACAGGUUGAUAUUCCUGUACCACCUAUAAUCGUUUUAAUCGAUGGGGGGACGCAGUAGGAUAGGCGAAGCGUGCGAUUGGAUUGCACGUCUAAGCAGUAAGGCUGAGUAUUAGGCAAAUCCGGUACUCGUUAAGGCUGAGCUGUGAUGGGGAGAAGACAUUGUGUCUUCGAGUCGUUGAUUUCACACUGCCGAGAAAAGCCUCUAGAUAGAAAAUAGGUGCCCGUACCGCAAACCGACACAGGUAGUCAAGAUGAGAAUUCUAAGGUGAGCGAGCGAACUCUCGUUAAGGAACUCGGCAAAAUGACCCCGUAACUUCGGGAGAAGGGGUGCUCUUUAGGGUUAACGCCCAGAAGAGCCGCAGUGAAUAGGCCCAAGCGACUGUUUAUCAAAAACACAGGUCUCUGCUAAACCGUAAGGUGAUGUAUAGGGGCUGACGCCUGCCCGGUGCUGGAAGGUUAAGAGGAGUGGUUAGCUUCUGCGAAGCUACGAAUCGAAGCCCCAGUAAACGGCGGCCGUAACUAUAACGGUCCUAAGGUAGCGAAAUUCCUUGUCGGGUAAGUUCCGACCCGCACGAAAGGCGUAACGAUUUGGGCACUGUCUCAACGAGAGACUCGGUGAAAUCAUAGUACCUGUGAAGAUGCAGGUUACCCGCGACAGGACGGAAAGACCCCGUGGAGCUUUACUGUAGCCUGAUAUUGAAAUUCGGCACAGCUUGUACAGGAUAGGUAGGAGCCUUUGAAACGUGAGCGCUAGCUUACGUGGAGGCGCUGGUGGGAUACUACCCUAGCUGUGUUGGCUUUCUAACCCGCACCACUUAUCGUGGUGGGAGACAGUGUCAGGCGGGCAGUUUGACUGGGGCGGUCGCCUCCUAAAAGGUAACGGAGGCGCUCAAAGGUUCCCUCAGAAUGGUUGGAAAUCAUUCAUAGAGUGUAAAGGCAUAAGGGAGCUUGACUGCGAGACCUACAAGUCGAGCAGGGUCGAAAGACGGACUUAGUGAUCCGGUGGUUCCGCAUGGAAGGGCCAUCGCUCAACGGAUAAAAGCUACCCCGGGGAUAACAGGCUUAUCUCCCCCAAGAGUUCACAUCGACGGGGAGGUUUGGCACCUCGAUGUCGGCUCAUCGCAUCCUGGGGCUGUAGUCGGUCCCAAGGGUUGGGCUGUUCGCCCAUUAAAGCGGUACGCGAGCUGGGUUCAGAACGUCGUGAGACAGUUCGGUCCCUAUCCGUCGUGGGCGUAGGAAAUUUGAGAGGAGCU